UACGAAGGGUGCAAGCGUUACUCGGAAUUACUGGGCGUAAAGCGUGCGUAGGUGGUGAGUUAAGUCUGUCGUGAAAGCCCCGGGCUCAACCUGGGAAUUGCGCGCGAAACGGGGGGGCUUGGAGUUCGGGAGAGGAGCGUGGAAUUCCCAGUGUAGAGGUGAAAUUCGUAGAUAUUGGGAAGAACACCAGAGGCGAAGGCGGCGAACUGGACAGUAACUGACACUCAACUGCGAA
rnacentral:rRNA from 1 species